AUGGCCAGCAGUGUGAGUCUUCAACAUUGUCAUUGCCCAUGUGGCCAGAGAAUUAAAAAUAUAAAUACAAGGACUGGAUCUGUGUGUGGAUACCAGCUGGGAGCUCACCAGGACAGUGCAAAUGUAACCAUGGUGUUCACACGAGCUGCAUGGCCCUGGGGUAAGCUUUAUCCCGUUUCCAGCUCCUUUUAUCAGCAGCUCAAGGACACCAUGACCAAGGCCUCUGUGCUGCUCAGCAUUAUGUGGAAGCCCAGCAAAGCAGCACAUGUUUUAUCCAAAGGAUAUUGCCAUGUACCAUCCAUCCAAACCUCUGGAUAUCUACUGCAAAUCCUGUCGCGGUCAGGAAAGAACUGGGAAGCAGAGAACACAAAGGAAAACCCGUGGUUUUCUCUUAAGAAAAGGUUUCUUCACGUUUUGCUGCGUAUCCACGCGUGCGGGGUGAGUCCGUGACACAGCUCACGGCAGAGCAGGAGCUCACAGUCGGCAGGCAGCCCGGACCCGAGAACAGGAAAUAUUUUUGGAUGGAAAUUUGGCCCGGUUCCCCCCCAGUGAUACCCCGUCCAUCAGGAAUGGUAUCAAACCUGUGCCUUACAGAGGGAUGCUUCCAGAAUGGAGCUUUCUGGACCAAAGCAGACAAAUAGAAAUUGAAAAGUAUCAUUCUGCAUGUUUGAGCCACUGCUGCAGUGUUUGGAAAAUGCCAGUGAAAAUGAGAAACUGGGAUGGGAGGAAUGGAGAGAAAAAAAUCAAAGGAUGAAACAGCCUUCAGGAAGUCAGAAGGAAAAAAGGUUAUAAAUAAUGUGAGUUAAAUAAAUAAUGUGAGUUAAAACA
rnacentral:lncRNA from 1 species